rnacentral:ncRNA from 2 species
CUGUUCCAUUUCUCUGAGGGACCUUUAGUUGGCUCUGUGGGACUGUUCCGGAUGGGCCUCUGGGUCACUGCCCCCAUCGCCUUGCUGAAGUCGCUCAUCAGCGUCAUCCACCUGAUCACGGCCGCCCGCAACAUGGCUGCCCUGGACGCAGCAGACCGCGCCAAGAAGAAGUGACGCUGGAGCCCCGGAUAUUCUUGGCUCAGGGCCUGGGUUGAGGGAGCUUAGGGAAGGACGUCCGUCUGGGUGCUUUUCCUCCAGUUUGCUGGCUGGCUUCUCCGUCUACCCACAGUGACCUCACAGAGAGGCCCUCCUGCCACCCAUGCUCAUGUGGUGUCCCCACCGCCCACUUGUUUGAUGUCACUGACUGUCUACAUAGUAAGACCAACUUGAACCUGGCAUAUAGUAGCUGCUUAAUAAAUACUCGUCUGUCAAUG